rnacentral:rRNA from 1 species
UACGUAGGGGGCAAGCGUUGUCCGGAAUCAUUGGGCGUAAAGAGCGUGUAGGCGGCCAGAUAAGUCCGCUGUGAAAUCUCGAGGCUCAACUUCGAGCUGUCGGUGGAAACUGUCUGGCUAGAGUCCGGAAGAGGAGAAUGGAAUUCCUGGUGUAGCGGUGAAAUGCGCAGAUAUCAGGAAGAACACCCGUGGCGAAGGCGGUUCUCUGGGACGGUACUGACGCUGAAACGCGAAAGCGUGGGGAGCGAACAGG